rnacentral:rRNA from 1 species
UACGUAGGGUGCAGGCGUUAAUCGGAAUUACUGGGCGUAAAGCGUGCGCAGGCGGCUCCUUAAGUCAGAUGUGAAAGCCCCGGGCUUAACCUGGGAACUGCGUUUGAAACUGGGGGGCUGGAGUGUGGAAGAGGGGGGUGGAAUUCCAGGUGUAGCGGUGAAAUGCGUAGAUAUCUGGAGGAACACCGGUGGCGAAGGCGACAUCCUGGACCGGUAUUGACGCUGAGGCGCGAAAGCCAGGGGAGCAAACGGG